UUAAUCUUAUUUCCUCAGUGUGCCACGUGGGGAACUGGACCAGAGCGUUCAGAUGCUUGUCCAAGAUGGCAUAAUCAGUGAGUCCUGAGCCAGAUUUGAGCCAGGCCCAUCUGCUUCCUAAGCCUGGCCUUUCCUCUAAGUCACAGCAAAUCCAUGAGCUUUUGCGAUCUCAGUUCCCUGACCAGGGAUCGAACCCAGUCCCCCUACAGUGGAAGCACGGAGUCCUAAGCACUGGACCACCAGGGAAUUCCCUGAUUGUGCCUAUUAAUCCCAGUAUUUCCCCUGUAUCUAAUUGGUACCUUCCCCCUCAGACAUAAACAUAGUGCCUGCUAUACAGUAAGUAUUCAAUACAGUGAGUAAAUAAAUGAAUAAAAGAAAGGGAAGAAAACCAUUCCAUUAUAUUUCAUUUGGAGUCUCAUGGCUCUAGUUCAUUCAUUCAUUUUCAAAAUGUUUUUAAAACAUCCACCAUGAGCACUGGCUAGAUGCCGAGUGUUCAGGGAGGAACGAGGUUAGACUUGGUCCCUCUCUCAUGCCAGCACCUCGCAGGGCUCCAUGGGUAACCAGAAAAGAAAGCAGAAGUCACCUGAUGCUCUGCCUUAGACAGGGAAGGGCAACGCUGGGGAACUUUCACGCCACGAGUGAGUUCUGUAACGUAGACUUCAUGCUGUGUCACCUCUAGCCCAGGGCAAGACAGAUACAGAACUUUGUACCACAGAACUUGAAGUAGGUAGGGAAGACAGACAGACAGACCAGACUGGGAGUUCUGAUACGGUGUGAGAAGUGCUCUUUAAAAGAGCUAUGUGCUAUGAGGGCAGAGAAGGGUCGCUGAAGCUAAUCUGGGGAGAAGUAGCUCUGGAAAGACAGUAGCAAUGGGGUAAAAUCAUACUUAAUCAUGAGAUAUGUUGCAACUGUGGCUUGUAAACUGGAAUAAUGAUUAAAUGUCUAGGUCCCUGAGGCUACUUCUUUGUCACUCCUCUCUGUUGAUUGUCAAACACUUGUAUGAAAUUGACAGGUAAGGAGGAAAUUAACCCCAUUUGGAUUAUGAAGAGAGGCAAGGAGGUUGAGGAGUAGCUCUUAUUUGGGUGAGGAUGCCUGAUUUAUUUUCCUAAUCAUGACUAAACCUAAGAAAGCAUACCAGGCUCAACCCUCAAGUGAGAAGCAGAAGGCCUCAGAGUCCAAAGUGGUGGUUGACACCCAAGCCAACAGGAGGCUGAAUCACGCUCUCCUGAAACUGUGGACAGAACUGUCUUCUUUCUAGCAAAGCUACACCUUGGAUGGUGUCUAGAAGUAACACUAGACAACCGCAGUCCUCAUAGAAGGAGCCAUGUGUCCACAGAUGCGCUCUCACCCCAUGAGCUUGCACUAAAACAGACACAUGGUCCAUAGAACUCCUGAGCACUUCCGGAUUGCUCAGCUUUGGGAUAUUGGUCCAGAUGUUAGGGGACAACUGCGGACAGGAAUAACUUUGAGUCUCCUCAUGCAGAGAAGUAUUUAAAAUAAGUUUUCUGAAACUUUAUUUUUUCGGCUUUCCUUAUCUGCAGGGAGAAGAGUGUAGUGGUUAUGAGCUGGGCCCUGGAGUUCGACUGUCUGGGUGCAAAUGCAGUGUGAUCUUGCGCACAUUGCGGAACCUCCCUAUGCCUCAGUUUUCUCAUCUACAAAAUGAGGAUAAGGAUAGAACCUACCUCCUAGAGUUGUUUUAAUUAUGGCAACAUGCAUUAAUAUACCAUGUUUCAUUGCUUCUGAGACAUGCAUUUUUCACAUUUGAACAUGUCUGAAAUUGAGGUGCAAUUUACAGUCAAUAGCAUAGUUUAGUUGCCUCAGUGGUAUGAAAAAUAAUGGUGUAGCUUAUAAUCAGUGGCAUCUUAGAUGUGAUGAAAUUGAGGAUACAAAGAGCUUAGAACAAUACAUAGCACAUAAACAGUACUAAAUGAAUAGUUAAUAGAUGAUAUAGACAUAAAAUAUAUAUAGCUCUUCUAACUUCAUCAGAGCCAACCUAUAUAUCUCAUUUUUAAACAAAUGUCCAAGAUAGCAAUGGCAAAUGAUAACAUGACUGACCCAUUUCCCAGGAAAGAGAGAAGCUUCUCUUCAUACUUGGCCUGGAGUUGGUGGAAGCAUCUGGUACCCAUCCCUUUAUCUUAGCCAAGAUCUCAGAAAGGUGAUAUAACUGAGACCCACUGAGAUGUGGAUACCUUGGACAGACCCCGCUAUCCCUAAGAGAAGAUGCAAUAAACACAUUUUCUAAAUACCAGCAAAUUUCCAGUGAUGCUCUAGUGAACCUUGGAGACUGGUUCUAUAAGCAACUCCUAAGCCUCCCCUACCAACUUUAAUUCAGCUCAACUCUGGGCCCCAAAAGGAGUUUAUUCAGAUGGCAGACACGCAGACAUGAGUGAAUGUUAUGUAUUUAGACAGGGGAUCAAAAGGAGCUUCCCUGGCCUUUUGUUUCUUGCUGAUUGCAUGUUCUCUUUUAAAAUGUAUUUGACUGUCAAUGGGAGAAAGCAGAACAUUCUGUUUUAAACUUCCACAUUUUAAAUUUUCUUCAUUUUGAAUAAUCUAUGUAUCUUUCAUCUGUAUUGUUUUAUUUAACUAAAACAAACAUAUAUUGCCUUUGUAUUAUGAAAUUUUGUUUUACUUUCCAGGAAAAAGGGAAAAUGAAGUUCUAUCAAUAUGUUUAAAAUAGAAAGAAUAAUUAGAAAAGUAGAAUAAAAAACUAAUGCAUGAUAUGAUCACAGUGUAUGAACAUAGGCAAAGGAUAAUAAAAGACUGAGAAAAGCUCAAUAAUUGCCUUUG